rnacentral:rRNA from 1 species
UACAGAGGAGCCAAGCGUUGUCCGGAUUGACUGGGCGUAAAGCGCACGCAGGCGGAUGCGCGCGUGGGGUGUGAAAUCUGGCCGCUUAACGGCCAGGCGCCAUCCCAUACGGCGCGUCUGGAGUGAUGCAGAGGUCGAUGGAAUUGCCGGUGUAGUGGUGAAAUGCGUAGAGAUCGGCAGGAACACCCAGGGGGAAACCAGUCGACCGGGCAUCUACUGACGCUGAGGUGCGAGAGCGUGGGGAGCGAACCGG